UACGAAGGGGGCUAGCGUUGCUCGGAAUCACUGGGCGUAAAGCGCACGUAGGCGGCUUCUUAAGUUAGGGGUGAAAUCCUGGAGCUCAACUCCAGAACUGCCUUUGAUACUGAGAAGCUCGAGUCCGGAAGAGGUGAGUGGAACUGCGAGUGUAGAGGUGAAAUUCGUAGAUAUUCGCAAGAACACCCGUGGCGAAGGCGGCUCUCUGGGACGGUACUGACGCUGAGACGCGAAAGCGUGGGGAGCGAACAGG
rnacentral:rRNA from 1 species